rnacentral:rRNA from 1 species
AUUGAACGCUGGCGGCAGGCUUAACACAUGCAAGUCGAGCGCGAACGGUCCUUCGGGGCCUAUUAGAGCGGCGGACGGGUGAGUAAUGCAUGGGAAUCUGCCCAGUAGAGGGGGACAACAGCCGGAAACGGCUGUUAAUACCGCAUACGCCCUACGGGGGAAAGGCCGGGAUCUUCGGACCGGUCGCUAUUGGAUGAGCCCAUGUCGGAUUAGCUAGUUGGUGAGGUAAAGGCUCACCAAGGCGACGAUCCGUAGCUGGUCUGAGAGGAUGAUCAGCCACACUGGGACUGAGACACGGCCCAG